rnacentral:rRNA from 2 species
UACGGGAGGCAGCAGUAGGGAAUCUUCGGCAAUGGACGAAAGUCUGACCGAGCAACGCCGCGUGAGUGAAGAAGGUUUUCGGAUCGUAAAACUCUGUUGUUAGAGAAGAACAAGGAUGAGAGUAAAAUGUUCAUCCCUUGACGGUAUCUAACCAGAAAGCCACGGCUAACUACGUGCCAGCAGCCGCGGUAAUACGUAGGUGGCAAGCGUUGUCCGGAUUUAUUGGGCGUAAAGCGAGCGCAGGCGGUUUCUUAA